GGCGGCUACCUAAUCCCUUGCAACCCUAGUUCUUCCUGUUUUCCCCCAUUCGAGCGCCGCUCCAUGUACCCGAUCUGUAACAGCUACUACUUCAGAGAGCAAUAGAUCGAUCCCAUACUAUUAUCCUAUCAACCAGUGCACUCCCACGGUGCUUCCCUGGUGCCUCGCCUCAGCUUUGCUUGGCUGGCAACGCCAUGCUCGGACGACACCUCCGCACGCCUGCUGAGUAUCACCGGCACCUGCGGCGCCUCCUUGGGCCUCUGGCAUUGGCUUCGCUCGACAGGGCACUUCCGACCGCCCGCAUCGGCUUCGGCCGGCCACAGCUAUCCUCCACACUCGCCCACGUCAUCGCAGUGCCACCAAGAAAUUUGGCGAUGCAUGACAACAAAACAAGAAUUCAGAAGCGAUCACGUCUCUUGGUUCGACAAGAUCUUAGGCGACGCUCCCUGACUGACCACAUGGCCCAAGAGAUGAACGAUCUGAAUCUUAUAAGAUGCGCAAAGCACCCAGGCUUUGACUAGCAUGACUUCCGGCUGAGUUCGAUCAUAGCUAUGUGUUUUUUUCACUUCGUGUCAAUCAUUUUCUGUUUCUUUCUACCUUCAGUAAAUAACCAUGUGUUGUACUGGCAACUAAUUUUUAUCAUGGAGAGUGUCGCAGGUGUCAAGCUACACACAGGGCAAACGGUGGAGUUGAUUCCUUGGUGAUGAACUCCUAUGUUUGCGGCAAUGUUCCCGUCAACAAGCAAUUGAAGAGUGCAGAAUGGGUGAAGCAGAAGCUUAAUUAAGUUCAUGAAUGGUAUCCCAGAUUACCCCCUUCGCAGUCAGAGACCUUGCAACAUAAACUAUGAUUUCACAUAGUUGGAGAGCAAGAAUGCAUAAGCGAAGCAGUACCCAUGGUAACAUGUCAAAGUUCAAGCUAAGACUGGAAUUCUCAAAAAAGAGAUUCAAGAUAUAACUGUUGUGAUUUUGAUUAUAAUUCUAGCAGAUGAACCCUGUUGCAUAUUUGUUUCGAUCAAACAUAGCUGGCAUGGACACACCUAAACUGAAAUUUAACUUUAGGCCACUCAUGCCAAAUGAAACAUAUCACCUUAGGUUUGAAAGAUAACUUUAUUGGAUGUUCAGGUGACAUUUUUUAUCUCAUGACUCAUGAGAUACUUAGUUAUUUGUAACUACCUUAUAUCCUUCAUGAUUAUGGGUUUUGCAGUCUAGGCACCAACAGAAAAAGUUUAGCAACAGACUGGAUGCUCAGGCCCGGAAGCAUGCAUACAGUUUGCUUACAUGUGAUC